CCCAGACUCCUACGGGAGGCAGCAGUGAGGAAUAUUGGUCAAUGGGCGGGAGCCUGAACCAGCCAAGCCGCGUGAGGGAGGAAGGUACAGAGUAUCGUAAACCUCUUUUGUCAGGGAACAAAGACUGGGACGCGUCCCCGGAUGAGUGUACCUGAAGAAAAAGCAUCGGCUAACUCCGUGCCAGCAGCCGCGGUAAUACGGAGGAUGCGAGCGUUAUCCGGAUUUAUUGGGUUUAAAGGGUGCGUAGGCGGACGCUUAAGUCAGCGGUAAAAUUGCGGGGCUCAACCCCGUCGUGCCGUUGAAACUGAUGUUCUUGAGUGGGCGAGAAGUAUGCGGAAUGCGUGGUGUAGCGGUGAAAUGCAUAGAUAUCACGCAGAACUCCGAUUGCGAAGGCAGCAUACCGGCGCCCAACUGACGCUGAAGCACGAAAGCGUGGGUAUCGAACAGGAUUAGAUACCCUAGUAC
rnacentral:rRNA from 1 species